GCCCUCGUAGGAAAACAGGAUCAAACCGCGAGUUUGGUAGACUUGAGCAUGUGGGUUCGAAUCCCACCGAGGGUA
rnacentral:tRNA from 1 species